UUCAUCUGUUGCCAGUGCUGAAAUGCCUGAAACUAUUCAUGCAGCUUGCAAGUAAUGUUUGUUCAGUUGCAGCUUGCUUACGUCUCUCCAAAAAAAAGCAUAUGCGUACUACUGAAAAGAUUAUUCUAGAGAAAGAUGAUAGCAUCUUGCUGAUAUUAAUAAACCACAUAAUGGAUGCUCUGAAAAUCUAUGGCAGUUUGGAGUGUGAUGAAUGGUCGAUUCACAGGCAGUCUUGGAAAUUGGAAUCUGCUGUUGUUGUAGAGCCUCCAACGAACUUUACUUCGGAGUUACAUUCUAAGGACAAGAGAAGUUAACUCUACAUACACAUUUUGAUUUUAAUUUCUUGCAAAUCUUCUUAUCUUCCAGGCCUUGAUGGGGUACUUCGAGUGCUUGCUGGGAAAUCUUUGCUGAAACUGUUAAAGAGAUGGCUUCUGUUGCCUUUAAAAGUGUGUUCUGUCCCUUACUGAAAACUUGCGAAAUCUGGAUGCACCAGAGAAUUUUGUCCUUGGUUAUUGCGCCAUUCUUGCUUGACAACGGUACAACUUGAUGGCUAACAGAGUGCUCCUUCUGCUAGCUUUGUCCUCUAGGAUUGACCCAAGAUUCUCCUUCAAAAUCCUUGAUAGAACUGCCGGCCACUUCCUGAAAAACUUGAAAAGUCAACUUCCUCAGACGAGAAUACUGGCAAUUUUAGCUUUAAACACUCUACUUAGAGCCACCUCAUAAGAUGCAAGGCAAGGAUCAACCUUCUGUUUUGAGAAGGAGGAUUCUGAAAAACCUGAUACUUCUGUGUGACAAUCAUCAGAUAUGGGAAGCAAUCGGUGUAAAUCUUUCAGUGUUAUGCUUUAACAUUCGGGUGGGGAUGUUAUAUCAACAAGAAUAGAUGUUGAUAGCCGACUUGAGAAAAUUGGUUCAAGUUGAUUAGUGCAUGAGCAUCUGAAGCUUUUACAGAUAUUUAACAUGCAAGCAUAUCAGAUAGCUUGGAGUCUUGGACACUUCAACAGAUGUAGUUAUGGAAAAGCUCAAUUAAAUGGUAAUUCUCUAGAUGCUGUUAAAUGGAUGGAGACGUGUUGGGAGAGUUUAUUUUUCUUCCCUUUGUUACAGACUUUUGGUAAAAAUCUUCUUUAUUUUUAUCUUAUCUCAUAUCUGAUAGAAGUAAUUGCGGGAUCCCUCUAUCCGUUGAUAUCCUUACAGGAAACAUCACAUAAAGAUCUGUCAACAUUGGUAGCCUUCCAGCUGUGGCGAGUUUUCUCAGAAUCUCAUCUACAGAAAGAUAUUGGAGUUCUUUCUUCUGCUCAUGACUCUAAUUGGCGGGCAUACAGUCAACUCAUGAAGAGAAACAGAGAAUCUGGAAAUCUGUGGAAAAGCUCCUUGUUGACAGCCAAAUAGAGAGGUACGAGAGCAUGCUGCAUAUUUUCUGGAGGAGAUUAAUAUUUGCUGCAGAUUUUCGUGAUAGAUCCUAUUCAGAGGCAAACUCAAUCCAAAAGAGAAGAAACCGGAGGUAAAUCAAGUUCAACUCAGUCCAUUGCAAAGGUGCAUGGAGCCGUUCUUGGCUUGGUAGCUUCAGUUUUGUCUGUUUUGUCUGUUCCUUAUGACAUACCCAGCUGGUUGCCGGAUCAUGUGACGUUACUGGCUCAUUUUGCUGGUGAACGUAUAAAAUCGAGUGUGACUAAAGCAGUAGCUGAGUUCCGGCGAACAUCCAGGAAGACUCUUCCACUGAAGAACAGCUUGAGGUAAUGAGUUUGGAAUUUACAUAUUAAUGCAUAUAUAAGGAAAUUUCUAAAUAUAUACGUCACUCUUUAUCAAACAAGUUGGGAAUACAAAUAUACAAUAAUAGGAAUCACAACUUUGUAACUCCACCUUUUAUUGAACAUUCAUAAUUGUGUGCCCAAUAAUAGAGAUGUGACAAAAUAAAAGU